CAGCCGCCGCGGGAAAACAGAGGGUGCAAGCGUUAAUCGGAAUUACUGGGCGUAAAGCGCGCGUAGGUGGUUCGCCAAGUUGGAUGUGAAAUCCCCGGGCUCAACCUGGGAACUGCAUCCAAAACUGGCGAGCUAGAGUAUGGUAGAGGGUGGUGGAAUUUCCUGUGUAGCGGUGAAAUGCGUAGAUAUAGGAAGGAACAUCAGUGGCGAAGGCGACCACCUGGACUGAUACUGACACUGAGGUGCGAAAGCGUGGGGAGCAAACAGGAUUAGAGACCCGAGUAGUCCCUGUCUCUAUACC
rnacentral:rRNA from 1 species